rnacentral:rRNA from 1 species
UCCUACGGGGGGCAGCAGUGAGGAAUAUUGGUCAAUGGGCGAGAGCCUGAACCAGCCAAGUCGCGUGAGGGAAGACGGUCCUAUGGAUUGUAAACCUCUUUUGCCGGGGAGCAAAAAGCGGUACGUGUACCGCAUCGAGAGUACCCGGAGAAAAAGCAUCGGCUAACUCCGUGCCAGCAGCCGCGGUAAUACGGAGGAUGCGAGCGUUAUCCGGAUUUAUUGGGUUUAAAGGGUGCGCAGGCGGCGAGUUAAGUCAGCGGUAAAAUUUCGGGGCUCAACCUCGACGAGCCGUUGAAACUGGCUUU